GCCGUUGUGGUGGAAUUGGUAGACACGCUGGACUCAAAAUCCAGUGCGGGUUAAACCGCGUGAGGGUUCGAUUCCCUCCGACGGCA
rnacentral:tRNA from 1 species